rnacentral:rRNA from 1 species
AUGGGGCGGAACCUCAGGCGCACAUAUGUCAACGUGUGCGUGUUUGUGUGUGUGCGGGACAAACAGAUCGACGCGUCCUCCUUGUACCGGCGUUUAACUUCUUGCCGAGGGAAGCAGCAGCAACGAGUACGUUUGUAUGGACGGAUGGCUACCUCCAAACUAGGUUACGAUCCGCUACUGUCUAGUAAUUUUUAUUUGCUCGUAGAAUCCAUCACUCUUAGUUUUAGGCAUAUAUAUUGUCUUAUUAUAGUAUAUAUAGAAACUCUAACCCUUCCUUUUGUGUGUAAAUAUAUUGGUAUAGUUUUUCUAAAAUAUUCUAAGAGCUUUUUUUUCUGA